UACGUAGGGUGCGAGCGUUGUCCGGAAUUAUUGGGCGUAAAGGGCUCGUAGGCGGUUUGUCACGUCGGGAGUGAAAACUCGGGGCUUAACCCCGAGCCUGCUUCCGAUACGGGCAGACUAGAGGUAUGCAGGGGAGAACGGAAUUCCUGGUGUAGCGGUGAAAUGCGCAGAUAUCAGGAGGAACACCGGUGGCGAAGGCGGUUCUCUGGGCAUUACCUGACGCUGAGACGCGAAAGCGUGGGGAGCGAACAGG
rnacentral:rRNA from 1 species